ensembl:lncRNA
CCAGAGGGAACUCAGGGGGCUCCUGUUAGUGAGUCGGAGCUGGCCGCUGUCUUUGCAGCCCCUGGACUCUCCUCUGUUCACUCCCUAGUAGCUAAUCCCAAAAGUUCUAAGUCUCAGGAGGGUUGAAUCAAAACAAAACAUGAGUAAUAGGCUUCUGAGGAGCAUAAAGUCUCUUUGGCGCCUUUACGUUUUCCUGGGCGUCUGAGAUGGAGUCCAUGUACCAAAGGUCAGCAGCCCCCAUCCUCCAUCCCUGCCGCCGAGAUGGAAAUAGAAGCUCGGGGAAGCUUCUUCCAGUCAAUUUUGGAGAAGGGGGUCUGCUUCCCUUCUUGUGCUUUUUCCUUUUUAGGGCUGUACCCACAGCACAUGGAGGUUCCCAGGCCAGGGGUCGAAUUGAAGCUGCAGCUGCUGGCCUACAACAUAGCCACAGCAAUGCCAGAUCCGAGCCAUGUCUUCAACCUACACCACAGCUCACGGCAACACCGGAUCCUUAACGCACAGAGCAGGACCAGGACUAGAACCCGCAUCCUCGUGGUUAGUAGUUGGGUUCAUUACUGCUGAGCCACAAUGGGAACCCCCCAGUCAGUUUGUUUAAUCCCCUGGCUCUGAGCGUACUGGCUGUCCUGGCUCCAUCAGGAAGUGGCUGACAGGCCAGAAUGGCCACUUUGCCCUCCCCAAGAACCAGGCAGAGAACCAGGAGAGGCUCCUUCAGAAAAGCUCGCUUCUCAACCUGCUUGCACGAGCUGCAGAAAGACGUUUCAAAUCCUCAGACUUUCCUCUCCUCCCUCCCUUCCUCACACACAUCAGAAAAGUCCAAGGGUUACUGCCUGGAAUUCAGACCAUUUUUCCUUUUUUUUUUUUUAAGAUACGGCACAUAAAAAUCAGGCCCUCUGAGGUCUCUUUGGCAGGUGACAGCCCAGGGCUUUUCCUUUUGAUGCUGGGCCAGGUUACGUUCACGUCCCUGACCUGGAGGGCCUUAGGCCUGUGAUUUACUGGAGGGGAUUCGCGUGGCAGGAUGACUCAGUGGGGGUCAGGGCCCCUCAGGUCACCCCAGCAUCCCCAACGCCUUUCCCUGAGGCCCCAGGAAAUGAUGGCCAGGUGGCCCAGGAGAGCCGGGUUACUGCCUGGAGAUGGGACAGAGGGACUGGGAACGCCUCCAUUCUGGUUCCAGCCCUUGUUACUCUUGGGGCCUCUUGCAGGAUGCUCCCCACCCUGGCCUGAACCUGAGAUGGGGACAGGGCAGGGGUGGGGGGGUGGGGGGCAGUCCCUGGGGUUCACUCUGGCUGGCUCCCAUCUAAUGCCCUUCCAUCCUCCACCUGGUGGCUUUUAACCUCUGACCUCACAGAGGGUUGUAUUCGUCCCCCUCUGAGACCUUUGUCAGGGCCCCUGGGUCCCAGGGACGCCAUGUGCAUCUCCUCUUUCAUCGCGCAUACACACAUGAUGCACACACAUGAGGUUGGAGGCAGAGACUGGGGCCCUGGCUCCUGAGUGCAGGGGCAGCCAGAGUAUGACCUCUGUGGCCACCUGGGGGUGGUGGGCAGAGCUGCCAUGCCCCCUCUGGGGGCGUCCUUGUUCCUACCUGUGGCUCAGGAGCAGGAGGGGAGCAAGAGAAAGCGCCACAUUGAAAGGCCUUGUCAGUAAGGACUGACAGCCUGAGUGCCCAGCCACUUAGGCUUGGCAGCUGGGUCCCUCCUGGGUUUGCUACCUGGGAGGGCUGUCUCCUCACUGCCCUCUGCCUGCAGCCCCUUCUCACCCCCGGAAGAAGAGCCCAGCUCACACACUCCACACGGGCCAGGCUGCAGCGGGGGCUCACUUGGCUCCUCUGUGGUUGUUGAAAAGAAAAUGACCCACUCUGUCCCCUUUGAGAAACGCACACCUCAGGGGCCAGCUGAGUCAGAUCCAGGCAGUUGGUGGGCACAGUGACACUGGAAAGGGCUGCUCUGAAGAGCUCUCACUCCGUGACCCCCUCUAGAGCACGGGAGAGACCCCCUUUAGUGACACCUCAGUGGGAUUUCGUUUAUGAAUUUCAGACACACCAGGGGGCUCUGUAGCUGAGAUACUGCGCCAAACCCCGUUUUCAAAGCUGUGGAGACAGCAGACCCAUAUCACCACCUAAGGGCCUGGGGAGUGGCCCCCUUGGGGGGGGGUAGAGCCACACAACACAUGAUGGUCCAGAGUGGGACACCCCACAUACCCCAUGCUGUCUGUGUGCAGGCUGGUCCUGCCCUGGCACUGCCCGGACCCCAGCCUUCAAGUCCUUGCCCACGUCCUGGCUGCACCCUGAGAAACGGGCCUGGAAACUAGUCUGGGGACAGCACCACAGAGUGUGAGGACCAUGGGCCUCCUGGCCGGUGGGGGUCUCAGCAUCGUAGGAGGGUCCUCAGGCAGAGGCUGAAGCCCACCUGUGACAGAGCGUGCCCAUGAACCACCCAGCGGCCAGUAGAGGGAGUCAUCAAUGCACUAAGAUUGAUGACUUGGCGCCGCCAGGGGCCCAGAGCCGAGGGACUGGAUUCAGAUCCUGCUGUUUCCUCACAGUGGAACCAUGCUGAGUCUGGCUCUGCUCAGGGAGGCGGGGAUGCUAUAGUGCCCGCCUGGGUACUGGCCCGGGUCACUGAGCUGGCAGGCAGGUGGGCAGUGGGGAGAGCCAAGACAGCACCACUCAGCACAAGUCCUGAGUCCCUUUGGGGCAGUUUCCUCUGAUAUGCUGAACUCCAUAAUUCUGAGAAAGCAGAAUGGUAGGUUAGCGCACCUGCUCCAGAAUCAUGUGGGCAUUGCAUUCAGGCCACGGAUGGCAGAUGGAGGGUUGAUGGCUGCACCAACCAGUUCCCCUGACUCUAUUCCUCCACUUCGCCUCCACCUAGAGGGCCUCCUUCACCAUCUCCCACACCAGGCAUGGUAGCAUUUGCAGCCCACAAAGAUACUGGGUCCUUGGUCAUCUACAGAUUGGGGAAGCAUGAAGAUGGCUGGGCCAGACAGUCUUCCAGCUGCCCUUCAAGGGAGCCCUGGGCCAGGAGCUCUGUGGGAGGGGCACCACACCGGGGUCUCGCUCAGACUGGAACCUCUUCAUAGCAGUCACCACCUCUCAUAUACCAGAUCUUCUUCUUUAGGGCAGCACACCUUCAACUUACAACGAAGCUUUUAAAAUAGGGAGUCUGUAGCUCUUCCAUCAAAGCUGCUUUAUUUUUCUAAUACACAUUUAAGGAAAUAAUAACUUCUCAAAUUAAAAGAAAUUUGGGGAGUUCCUGUAGUGGCUCAGUAGGUUACAAACCUGGCUGAUAUCCAUGAGGACGUGGCUUCAAUCCCUGGCCUCAUUCCGUGGGACGGGGAUCUGUAUUGCCAUGAGCUGUGGUGUAGGUCACAGAUGCAGCUCAGACCCUGUGGGCUUGGGUUUGGGUGGGCGGCUGUGUUUUCAUUCCAGCCACUAGCCUGAGAACCUCCACAUGCCACAGGUGCAGCCCUAAAAAGCCCCCCCCCCAAAAAAAAGAAAGAAAAAUGCUCACCCAGAUACCCCCUGAAAUAAAUUUGUCUCCCAGCAGUGUGACAGACACAGGUCAAGUUAGGGGAAAAGUGUGAACUUUAGAUGAGCAUGGGCUUCCCCACAAGCACAGGUGUGUGACUUGGCCGGGUCACUUCAGCACCAGGAGAAUGGCACCUGCACGCCCGCACCUGCAGAGGCGGGAGAGCUCAGGAGACAGGCCAUCCCGGCAUACAGGUAUGGGGCCAGGCAGCACAGACCAGGGCCCACACACGGCAGCUGCCCGGAUGGUUCCUUCGCUAGCCUGCCCUCCCGUGUUUCUGUCCCUGCUUUUAGUCACAAGUUGAUUUUAUAGGUAAAACGCCAGCACCAGCAACGUAAAGUGACUUUGCCAAGGUCAUAGGUCAGUAGUCCAGCCAGGAGUGACAAGAAGCAAGAGCCUCCUUUCUCUCCGUUGACUGGGCUGGGGCACCAAAGGCUGGGUCUCCCAGCUGGUCUGCUGACCCCUCGGCACCUUGGAGCCUGUGUGGAAAUGCUGUCAUUUGUGGUGAUUACAGGCCAUGCAGCGGAAUCCAGGAGGCCAGGAAAGGUCCGUGUGUCUAGGUACAAGCUUGAGGUGUGUUAAUGCCAUGCUUCUCAGGCAUGGUUAUUUGUGGGUCAUUAUUGCUAAGGUCUCAACACUUGUGACUGAUCUUUUGAAACGCACAUACACAUGGAGUUCCCACCAUGACGCAGCAGAAAUGAAUCUGAAUACCAUGAGGACGCAGGUUUGAUCCCUGGCCUCCCUCAGUGGGUUAAGGAUCCGGCGUUGCCGUGAGCUGUGGUGUAGGUCCAGAUGCUCAGAUCUGGGGUUGCUGUGGCUGUGGUGUAAGCCGGCAGCUGUAGCUCCGAUUCAGCCCCUAGCCUGGGAACCUCCAUAUGUCUCAGGUGCAGUCCUAGAAAGACCAAAAAAAAAAAA